rnacentral:rRNA from 1 species
UACGAAGGGUGCAAACGUUGCUCGGAAUCAUUGGGCGUAAAGCGCACGUAGGCGGCUUCGCAAGUCGGAUGUGAAAUCCCAUGGCUCAACCAUGGACGUGCAUUCGAAACUGCGAAGCUUGAGUAUGGAAGAGGGUCGCGGAAUUCCCGGUGUAGAGGUGAAAUUCGUAGAUAUCGGGAGGAACACCAGUGGCGAAGGCGGCGACCUGGGCCAAUACUGACGCUGAGGUACGAAAGCGUGGGGAGCAAACAGG